rnacentral:misc_RNA from 1 species
AAGUCGUAACAAGGUCUCCGUAGGGGAACCUGCGGAGGGAUCAUUUCCAUAAAAAAAAAUUGAGAUGUUCAUGGGGUGAGAUGGAGGAUGUGGUUUCACAUGCUUUGUUUUAUUCUUUGAAUGUUUCAACAAAGUUGGUUGUGUUCAUUUCUUUCUUUUAAUACUUGAGAAUGAAUAGAGGAUAAUAAGUUGGAAGCAUUGAUUUGCUUUCACUUGUCUUCUCUUUUUAUUUCUUGAUGUGUUAAAGAACAACAUGUAAUUCAAGUAUCCUUAAUGUGAUAGAAAUCUGCUUUAUUUAUAAAAAUAGACAACUAUCAACGGCGGAUCUCUUGGUUCGU